UCAUACCAGACUUGAGACGGCGGCAUGAUUCCGCUAUAUGCAUACUGUCGUCGCAGAAGCACUUGAUGCAUCUGCACCAUAUAUUGCAAAGAAUUGCAAUUAGUACGUGGGAGUGAAAUGUGCACGGUGCCACCAUUUGACCAGUGAAGUGGCUGGACCGAUAUCGAUAAAACUAUCCUCCAGUCAAAUAUAAAACCCCAUUUCAAUUUCAAUCGCAUCUGUUUGAAUGAUGCGUUUCCAUAAUGUAAGUGUUAACACCAAAGUUUAUUUUCAUUUAUUUUUUUACCUCUUCGUUUUUUUUAAUAAUUACAAAGCCAAAACAUUUAAAAAUCAGCUUUCUUCCAUCGAUUUCGCACUUUUACGUUUUUAAUUUAUAAACAAAUAUUAGCUAAAAUACUUUUAAGGAUCGUUGUCGCAUCACGCAAUGUGGAUGCAUUCGCCCCUCUCUUACGCAUAACCGCUUGUGGAACGCUGCGUCAGAACGU